rnacentral:rRNA from 1 species
GAUGAACGCUGGCGGCGUGCCUAAUACAUGCAAGUCGAGCGAACAGACGAGGAGCUUGCUCCUCUGACGCUAGCGGCGGACGGGUGAGUAACACGUGGAUAACCUACCUAUAAGACUGGGAUAACUUCGGGAAACCGGAGCUAAUACCGGAUAAUAUAUUGAACCGCAUGGUUCAAUAGUGAAAGACGGUUUUGCUGUCACUUAUAGAUGGAUCCGCGCCGCAUUAGCUAGUUGGCAAGGUAACGGCUUACCAAGGCAACGAUGCGUAGCCGACCUGAGAGGGUGAUCGGCCACACUGGAGCUGAGACACGGUCCAGACGACUACGGGAGGCAGCAGUAGGGAAUCUUCCGCAAUGGGCGAAAGCCUGACGGAGCAACGCCGCGUGAGUGAUGAAGGUCUUCGGAUCGUAAAACUCUGUUAUUAGGGAAGAACAAAUGUGUAAGUAACUAUGCACGUCUUGACGGUACCUAAUCAGAAAGCCACGGCUAACUA